ACGGGUCAAAUGCAGUAGGAAACGAACCGGACCCUUUGUGAAAGGAGAGAUACUUCCCUGGCGAGAGCCUAAAACUGCCCUUUGUGGCCCCUGCACGGACGCUGCUUGCAUGGCGGGGUUAUUGUGCUACCCCCGUUUCAUGUGCCGGGGCUACGCGGUUUAGCCGCACACCUACACCACAACCGCACGGAGGCGCGAAUACUUAUUAUGACCAGC
rnacentral:ncRNA from 1 species